CAGGCGGACUCUCAACCACUGCGCCACCAGGGAAGCCCUCCAACUAAGAAUUUUGAGAAUCAGAUGCUUGUAGAGACGGGGCUGCUGCUUAUGAAGCUGUGCACCAUUGGGAAAUUACUGGAAGUUAAUGCUCCCUGGUCUUUCAUUUUCUCACCAGCAAAAUAAAGCCUCGGGCCAGGUCACAUCUCUUGGGCUGCACUCAUCUGAACGGACCUUGCCAAGAGAACACAUGCCAGAGAAGCAGUUGGCUGAGUGGUCCUCACCAGUGGAGGAGUGAGUGGAUUACCAGAAGGGCUCUGCUGUGGCUCCCAGUUAGUGAGGAGUGAUGUGGCUGGGACGCACUGGCCUGGCCAAAAGAGCAUUCUUUCACCUCUAGCCAAUUCUCAUCAUUCUCCACAGAAUGUGCCAUGUUGGCUAAAGCCAUGAAGUGCAGAUUGUGUGUUUGGUAACUUCCAUGCAAACAAACCAAUAUGGUCGUCUUCUGAAGGCCAUAAUUGAGAUGACGAAUUGUGGAGUCUCCAUUGACUGUCCUACCAUGGAAACACAGUGAGGGCCGCAGUGAUUUAAUUAUACCAAGAGUUACUAUUGGAAUAGUCUGCCAUGAAUGUGAAUGGAAAUGUGGAAAAGGCCCCUUGACAAGGAACUGAGCAAGUCCUCUGACGAACAAUCAGAAACUUAGGACUUCAGUCCAACAGCUUGUGAAGUGCUGGAUCCUAUCAGCAACCACGUAAGUGAUUCCAAGGAAGCAGAUACUCCUUUCCUUAAGCCCUUAGUUGAAAAGAAAGCCCUGGCCAAAAUUUGAUCGCAAACUUGUCUGAGACCUUGGGGCAGAGUCACCCAGCUAAGCUGCACCCACAGACACUAUGAGGUAAUAAAUGUUUGUUGCUUUUAAGCCCUAAUAUUUUGGGUAAUUUAUUAUGCAACAAUAGGAAAGUAAUAUAUUCAGGAAUAAAAUUAACACAUCAACAUAUAUAUUGUAUUGUGUAGUUGACACACAAUUGCUUGAAGCAAACCUAAGUCUAGUAUCUAAGUUAAUGGAGAGCCAAAGCAGAGAGACACACCACCAUUUACAAGAAAUAGUAACCAGACAAUAAAUACGACUCAAUUGUUUAUGAGAAUCAUUGCUUUCCUUCAUUUUGGAGUCAGAAGAAGUGUUUCCCAUUAGUCCUCUUAAGGUGAUCCCUGGUGAUGUCUUUAAUAUCAUCACUACAAUGAAUAAAUAGUGAUCCGUAGGUUCACUCUCAAUAUACAACAUCUCUCAAUAUAUGUCAGUGACAGAGUGCUGAAGCUUUGUUUGUGAGUAUUUUUACAAGAGGCAACAAAAACAGUGUAAAACAAACAUUAUUUUGAUGGUCAGGAUUGACCUUAGGAGAAAAUUUAGAACGUGCAGAUAAAUGUAUGAAUUCUAGCUCUAGUCUUAAUAAGAAUUGAAGA